rnacentral:rRNA from 1 species
GCGGUGGAUGAUGUGGAUUAAUUCGAUGCAACGCGAAGAACCUUACCUACCCUUCGACAUGUCCGGAACUUGCCAGAGAUGGCUUGGUGCCGAAAGGGAAUCGGAACACAGGUGCUGCAUGGCUGUCGUCAGCUCGUGUCGUGAGAUGUUGGGUUAAGUCCCGCAACGAGCGCAACCCUUAUCAUUAGUUGCUACGCAAGGGCACUCUAAUGAGACUGCCGGUGACAAACCGGAGGAAGGUGGGGGAUGACGUCAAGUCCUCAUGGCCCUUAUGGGUAGGGCUUCACACGUCAUACAAUGGUCGGUACAGAGGGUUGCCAAGCCGCGAGGCGGAGCCAAUCCCACAAAGCCGAUCGUAGUCCGGAUUGUUCUCUGCAACUCGAGAGCAUGAAGUCGGAAUCGCUAGUAAUCGCAGGUCAGCAUACUGCGGUGAAUACGUUCCCGGGUCUU